rnacentral:rRNA from 1 species
GAGUAUUUAAAAAUUAAUAUGCGUGGGUAAAGAUUAGAGAUAUCCAUAGUAGUGUGUAAUUCUUAGGUUGAAAUAAGGGGAAGGAACUCGGCAAAUUUUAGCUUCGCCUGUUUAUCAAAAACAUGGCUCUUUGGUAUUUAGGUAUAAAGAGUCAAACCUGCCCAGUGAAAUUUUUAACGGCCGCGGUACCCUGACCGUGCAAAGGUAGCAUAAUCAUUUGCCUUAUAAUUGAAGGCUUGUAUGAAUGGUUUAACGAAAGCACUGCUGUCUCCCCCUUAAUAAGUAGAAUUUGACUUUUAGGUGAAGAGGCCUAAAUGUAAUUGAAAGACAAGAAGACCCUGUCGAGCUUGAAAAUUAAGUUAGGAGCGAGAUAUAACAUGCCUUAAAUUUAUUACUAACUAUUUUUUUGGUUGGGGCGACCGAGGAACAAUAAAAGCUUCCUUUUUUGUAUUAACUUAUAGGUGCUGAUCCAGUUAGAGCUGAUUAAAAAAAUUAGUUACCGCAGGGAUAACAGCAUAAUCUCUCUUGAGAGAUCAAAUCGAAAGAGGGGGUUGUGACCUCGAUGUUGGACUAGAAUAUCCUAAAGAUGC